rnacentral:rRNA from 1 species
GUAGUCAUAUGCUUGUCUCAAAGAUUAAGCCAUGCAUGUCUAAGUUCAUGGACUUCGAACAGAGAAACUGCGAAUGGCUCAUUACAACAGUCAUAAUUUCUUUGAUCGUUCCUUACUACAUGGAUAACCGUGGUAAUUCUAGAGCUAAUACAUGCAAAAAGCUCCGACUUCUGGAAGGGGUGUAUUUAUUAGAUAAAAAACCAAUGCAGGCAACUGCUUUCUUUGGUGAAUCAUGAUAACUGCUCGAAUUGUAUGGCUUCAUGCCGACAAUGGUUCAUUCAAAUCUCUGACCUAUCAACUUUCGAUGGUAGGAUAGUGGCCUACCAUGGUGACAACGGGUAACGGGGAAUUAGGGUUUGAUUCCGGAGAGGGAGCCUGAGAAACGGCUCCCGGACCUACGGGACACAGCAGGCGCGCAAAUUACCCAAUCCCAACACGGGGAGGUAGUGACAAGAAAUAACAAUACAGGGCUCUUUUGGGUCCUGUCAUUGGAAUGAGUACAAUUUAAAAACCUUAACGAGGACCAAUUGGAGGGCAAGUCUGGUGCCAGCAGCCGCGGUAACUCCAGCUCCAAUAGCGUAUAUUAAAGUUGUUGCAGUUAAAAAGCUCGUAGUUGAACUUGAAAGUUUCCUGGUUGGGAUUGGCUUGGGUGUUCAGGUUUCGGCUUGGAUGCUAUUCCAAACAAGUCAAGUUUCCCAUUUUACCAGGGGCUUUAAUCCUUGUCUGAGGAGCUUGGAUGCACUUUACUGUUGUGUCCUUGCGAGUCAGAACAUUUUACCUUGAAAAAAUUAGAGUGUUCAAAGCAGCUCUUUGAGCUUGAAUACAUUAGCAUGGGAUAAUAGAAUAGGACUUUUGGUUCUAUUUUGUUGGUUUUUCAGAACCAGAGUAAUGAUGAAUAGGAACAGUUGGGGGCAUUCAUAUUCGAUCGCUAGAGGUGAAAUUCUUAGAUUGAUCGACGAUGAACUACUGCGAAAGCAUUUGCCAAGGAUGUUUCCAUUAAUCAGAACGAAAGUUAGGGGAUCGAAGACAAUCAGAU